rnacentral:rRNA from 1 species
UACAAGGAAGACUAGUGUUAUUCAUCUUUAUUAGGUUUAAAGGGUACCUAGACGGCUUUUAUCGCUCUAAAAAAGUACGUAAAAGCUAGAGUUUAAUGGGAGAGGUAAAUAUUAGGGCCAUUGGUGGAGAGAUAGAAUGUUUUCAUACUAAUGGAACGGAUAAAGGCGAAGGCAACCCUCUAUAUAUAAACUGACGUUGAGGGACGAAGGCUUGGGGAGCAAAUAGG